AACGCGAAGAACCUUACCUAGGCUUGAACUGCACUAGACCGGAGAUGAAAGUUUCCUUUCGCAAGACUGGUGCAGAGGUGCUGCAUGGCUGUCGUCAGCUCGUGCCGUGAGGUGUUUGGUUAAGUCCAGCAACGAGCGCAACCCUUAUCAUUAGUUGCCAGCGAGUAAUGUCGGGAACUCUAAUGAGACUGCCUGGGUCAACCAGGAGGAAGGUGAGGAUGACGUCAAGUCCGCAUGGCCUUUAUGUCUAGGGCUACACACGUGCUACAAUGGUCGGUACAAAGGGUUGCCAAACCGCGAGGUGGAGCUAAUCCCAUAAAACCGAUCUCAGUUCGGAUUGCAGUCUGCAACUCGACUGCAUGAAGCUGGAAUCGCUAGUAAUGGCGUGUCAGCAAUAACGCCGUGAAUACGUUCCCGGGCCUUGUACACACCGCGUGUCU
rnacentral:rRNA from 1 species